GAUGAACGCUGGCGGCGUGCCUAAUACAUGCAAGUCGAGCGAACAGACGAGGAGCUUGCUCCUCUGACGUUAGCGGCGGACGGGUGAGUAACACGUGGAUAACCUACCUAUAAGACUGGGAUAACUUCGGGAAACCGGAGCUAAUACCGGAUAAUAUGUUGAACCGCAUGGUUCAAUAGUGAAAGACGGUCUUGCUGUCACUUAUAGAUGGAUCCGCGCCGCAUUAGCUAGUUGGUAAGGUAACGGCUUACCAAGGCAACGAUGCGUAGCCGACCUGAGAGGGUGAUCGGCCACACUGGAACUGAGACACGGUCCAGACUCCUACGGGAGGCAGCAGUGGGGAAUCUUCCGCAAUGGGCGAAAGCCUGACGGAGCAACGCCGCGUGAGUGAUGAAGGUCUUCGGAUCGUAAAACUCUGUUAUUAGGGAAGAACAAAUGUGUAAGUAACUAUGCACGUCUUGACGGUACCUAAUCAGAAAGCCACGGCUAACUACGUG
rnacentral:rRNA from 1 species